rnacentral:rRNA from 1 species
AUUGAACGCUGGCGGCAUGCCUUACACAUGCAAGUCGAACGGCAGCACGGGGGCAACCCUGGUGGCGAGUGGCGAACGGGUGAGUAAUGCAUCGGAACGUGCCCAGUAGUGGGGGAUAACCAGUCGAAAGACUGGCUAAUACCGCAUACGACCUACGGGUGAAAGCGGGGGACCGCAAGGCCCCGCGCUAUUGGAGCGGCCGAUGUCUGAUUAGCUAGUUGGCGGGGUAAAAGCCCACCAAGGCGACGAUCAGUAGCUGGUCUGAGAGGACGACCAGCCACACUGGGACUGAGACACGGCCCAGACUCCUACGGGAGGCAGCAGUGGGGAAUUUUGGACAAUGGGCGCAAGCCUGAUCCAGCCAUGCCGCGUGCGGGAAGAAGGCCUUCGGGUUGUAAACCGCUUUUGGCAGGAACGAAACGGCGCGAGCCAAUACCUCGCGCUAAUGACGGUACCUGCAGAAUAAGCACCGGCUAACUACGUGCCAGCAGCCGCGGUAAAAC